AUGUUCAAAAUUUAUUUCUCUUUGUCUCUUCUAUCUCUUGCUUUCAAUUCUCUUCAAAGCUUAAAUCUGUCAUCCCCCAUUUCUCCUUCGUCUUCAUUUCUCCUACCUCUGCUACUCUCAAAAGAUCUGAUUAUUGCUAGAGAAUUUUAUGGUGGUCCGAGUUGUAUCGUUGAUGGCGGUGAGUAUGGUUUUUCCGGUUGUGGAUUCUAUUUUUUUAGUCCGAGUUAUGAUUUUGAGUGGAAGAAAUAUCGUUGGUUUCUGAGAGGUUUGCUGCGAAAGUUGCUGGUUCACAGCAGCAAUCUCAUGCUGAGAGGCUUAAAAGGAUGA